rnacentral:tRNA from 1 species
GCCCCGAUGCUGAAAUUGGUAGACAGGCUAGCUUCAGGAGCUAGUGCCGCUUGCGGCGUGAGAGUUCGAGUCUCUCUUGGGGCA